UACGGUUCUGGGUGCGGUGGACGACGGCCUGGAUUUGCGCCGUGAGCGGGCUUUCAGUUCUCUCUGACCCCGGAUUCCGUUGGUCCGGCUUUUGUCUUUGUCGCUUGGUAUGCUAGCUGUUGAACUGGGGCUGUUUAUUUGAAGGCCGUGUUGUCAUAACCUUACAGUCGGGACUCUGGGGUUCUGGGUUUCUCUCCCUUCCUUUCCCUCCCCGUAUACCUCUCUGCCUCCCUUCACUCCUGGGGCUCGCAGUAAGAUUAGCCGUAGAGGGGCAAGGAAACAAGGAAAAUAUAAUAUAAUAUAAUAUAUAUAUAUAUAUAUAUAUAUGUAUAUAUAUAUAUCAUAGACGGAGAGAGAAAGAGAGAAAAAAAAAAGAAAAGUUUCUUCGAGAAGCCUAAGCAAGAAGAACGUUCUUCUCCUUCUUCCUUUCUUUUCAUUUUUUUUAAUUUUUUAUUUCCUAACCAGUUGCGACCCUUCCCUCGCUCUUUAAAUUGCUCCGCUGCUAGCCUGCUCUGCUAUAUAUAUAUAUAAAUCGAUCGGGGGUGGCAGACUGGCAGUAGGUAAAACAGAGGGGGUUGGCUUCCUCUUUUUAUCUCCAGCCGCAUUGUUGGCCCUGUCUCUUUGAUGGGACGGGUGUUCAGGUGAGAGGUUGAGAUCUCAACUGCGUCUAGGUGUUCAAGUCCCUCUUUCUCUUUCUCUCUCUUUCUCGUUCUCUUUCUCUUCGGUCUUUCCUUGUCGUAAUCCUCCGAGGGCGUCGACCGAAUGACCGACAGUCCAGCUCCACUGCAUUCACUUGCGUAAUUCCCCAGCAGAGCUCAUAGCAACGAACAAUCAAUCAUAGGAGAAAAGGGAGAAAAAGAAAAACAGAGAGAAGGGAGAGAGGGAAGGCCCUUUUAAAUCCGUCCAGAUCAGCCCCCCAGCGGCCAUUCCCAAUCUCCUCUUUCACCUUCCUCCUCCUCCUCC
rnacentral:lncRNA from 1 species